GCUGGGCUGAUGUGGGGACUCCAUAUUCCUCUUAUCCAUUCCUUCCUUCCUUCCUUCCUUCCUUCCUUCCUUCCCUCCUUCCCUCCUUCCCUCCUUCCUUCCUUCCUUCCUUCCUUCCUUCCUUCCCUCCUUCCUUCCUUCCUUCCUUCCCUCCUUCCUUCCUUCCCUCCUUCCUUCCUUCCUUCCUUCCUUCCCUCCUUCCUUCCUUCCNUUCCCCCCCACCAUCACCUCCCUCCAUUCGGGGGGGUCACCUCCCCAAACCCUCUUCCAUCACCCUGGAAGGGGCCACAGAGGAUGCCAGCCCCAGGAAAGCCCUCCCCGUUCCCCAAUUCCUGUUCUGCACCCAAAAAUGAAGGUGCUUUUUCUUUCCUUCCUUCCUUCCUUCCUUCCCUCCUUCCUUCCUUCCUUCCUUCCUUCCUUCCUUCCUUCCUUCCUUCCUUCCUUCCUUCCUUCCUUCCUUCCUUCCUUCCUUCCUUCCUUCCUUCCUUCCUUCCUUCCUUCCCUCCUUCCUUCCGUCCUUCCUUCCUUCUUUCCUUCCUUCCUUCCUCGCUUCCUUCCUUCCUUCCCAGGCCAAAAUGGACAACGAGGUCCUGGGCUACAAGGACCUGGCUGCCAUCCCCAAGGACAAAGCGAUCCUGGACAUCGAGCGCCCGGAUCUGAUGAUCUACGAACCCCAUUUCACCUACUCCCUCAUGGAGCACGUGGAGCUGCCCCGCAGCCGAGAGGUGAGGGUGCCCCGGGACCCCCUGCUUCUUCUGGGGGGCUAGUAGGGGGCAAACUCCCCCCCCCCGGGGCNUUUCCUUCCUUCCUUCCUUCCCUCCUUCCUUCCUUCCUUCCUUCCUUCCUUCCUUCCUUCCUUCCUUCCUUCCCUCCUUCCCUCCUUCCUUCCUUCCUUCCUUCCUUCCUUCCUUCCUUCCUUCCUUCCUUCCUUCCCUCCUUCCCUCCUUCCUUCCUUCCUUCCUUUCUUCCUUCCUUCCUCUCCCUCUACCUCCCUCCCUCCCUCCCCUCCUUUCUUUCUUCCUUCCUUCCUCUCUCCCUUCCUCCCUUCCUUCUUCCCUCCCUCCCUCCCUGCUUCCCACCC
rnacentral:lncRNA from 1 species